CUGCAGCUCAAGUGGUGACCACUAUUAUUGGGCCUAAAACGUUCGUAGCCGGUUUGGUAAAUGCCUGGGUAAAUCGUGUAGCUUAACUAUACGAAUUCCGGGUAGACUGCCAAACUUGAGACCGGGAGAAGCUAGAGGUACUCCUGGGGUAGAGGUGAAAUUCUGUAAUCCUGGGGGGACCACCAGUGGCGAAGGCGUCUAGCUAGAACGGGUCUGACGGUGAGGAUCGAAGCCCUGGGGCGCAAACCGGAUUAGAUACCCGAGUAGUCC
rnacentral:rRNA from 1 species